GUCUCUUGGACAUAUGAGCUACGCUGCGAGCGCCCGCCUGGCCUCCUGCCUGCCAAGAAGUUAGUAGUAAGUAGAACAGCCCUGGAUUUAAGAUGAUUUCAAUACUUUAACAAUACCCACAAGUUAGAUAUGAUUAUACUACAGUGAGCGGGGCCCGGU